ensembl:lncRNA
CGAACACAAGAGGAUCUCUUGCACCCUCGGCCCACUUUCACUCCGCUGACGCGCGAUGGCGGCGCGAACGGGUCCGAGGAAGCGACCGUGUGUGACGCGCCGCAUCAGGUAGGAAGGAGUGAACUCUGCAGGCUGCAGGGCAACUUGCCUUGAUUAACAGCCUGAAUCAUGAGGGAGUUUGAUUGAUUGUGCACCGAUCGCCGUUUACUUGGGAGUUAUUCGGAGAUGGUAUGUGACAUGCACAAACCUGUUGGAUCCACGCGGCUCUCUUUGGUUCACUGCUCCCGUCUGCUUCCAAACCAUGGGUCCAGGAAGGAAGCUAAUUGAUGGAAAUAUCUCUACCUGGUCACAUUGAGAAAAUGUCUAUUCAUCUUCAUCUACACUUGAAUAGGGGCCACUUUGAAUCCUGUUCACGUUGGAUGCAUGUAAAGGUCAGCAAUUCUGUUGGUUACAACAAUGUCUUUUAAGUAAUCUCCCUCUAUGUGAGGAUGUAAGCAUGGUUUUGUGUCGCUUUGGCUGUGGGCUGAUGGGCAGGAUUACAAUACAGUUGGGCUCAUUACAAAAUGUUAACAGAAAGUAAGUAGAUCCUCUUUCAUGUGGUUUGGCACUAAUUUAAUAUUAGAAAAUGUCAAUUGAAUUUCAGUGCAUGGGAUUUAUUUUCAUUAUAAAUUGUUCCAAAGAAACUAACUGACAAAAGGAUUAUGUUUUCAGAUGAAAUGCAAAACAGUAAAUGGAACUGUAAUACAAUCUUUUUGCAAGGAUGAGAACGUUUAAAAUACCAGAAGAAAAUCAAUGGUGGAAAAUGGUGGUUACUAUUUUUAUGUCUUGCUAUAUUUCUCUACUGAGAAAAAUGUAUUUCCAAAAACAUUUUACUUUUGUACAUUUUAAACAUAUGAUGUAUUAUUAUGGCUUUAACAUGCACAUAUCAUUUAUGUUAAUCCAGUUACAAUUGGAUUAAAAUAACGUAGCACCCUAAAUUGAUUUCAUUUUUCGUGUCAUUACUUUUAAAUACAUUUGGUCAAGAAACAUAUGGACUUGUAUUGUUACAUAUACUUUUACCUAAAAAAUGUAUAUUCCACCGCCGUACCUUGCACACUGCGACCUGUACCCUGCACUCUGUAAAGCCAUAUAAUGGUGCAUACUUAUUGAUUGCCAUACUAUCAACCAUGUUAAUGAUGCAAUGUUUUUCAU